rnacentral:lncRNA from 1 species
GCUACUGAGGCUCAUCUUGCCACUGCUGCAACCCAGGCUUCCUCCUCCUGCCACCCAGUGCUGGGCAGGAGAAGAGGCCCUUGGAAAGAAUAUUCUACCGUCAGGGACCAUGGCCUGGCUCUUUGUGCUCAAGCCAGUUACUUGAUUUGCCAUUCCCCGCUCAGGACCUACCUGGAGGCUCUCAUGGCAUUUCUCUACUCCAGGUUGGAGUGCAGGGGUGCAAUCACGGCUCGUUGCAGCCUCGAUCUCCUGGGCCCACACUGUCUUCCCACUUCUGCCUCCUGAGUCACUGGGACCACAAGUGCGCACCACCACACCUGGGCUGCUUUUUAAAUUUUUUGUAGAGACAGGGUCUCACUAUGUUGCUAGCCUGGUCUCAAACUCCUGGGCUCAAGCGAUCUGCUGGCCUCAGCCUCCUGAGUAGCUGGGACUGUAGGUGUGUGCCACCAUGCCAGGCUUACCUCAUGUCUUUCAAGUUUCACCUUCUGCUGAAGACUGCUUCAUUCACCUUGGUCCAUAGAUUCCAGAUUAUUGAGAUGGGAUGGCAAUGACACUAGAAGAGAUGUACACAGCAUCCUGAGACCCUGACUUGGAGCUGGAUGAGUUCAUGAUGACACUGGGCUGACCGUUUCCGGGAAGGAGGGGAGCACAUUUUCCAUUGGACUGGAGCUCACUCAUUUUAUUCCGUGUCCUUGAGUGAGGGCUAUCAUCAGAUGUACCUACCAAAUCAAAGUCUUGGGAGCUAGCAACACAAGGACACAGGUUCAUGGUGUUGUGGUGACAGAUGCCAACUAUGGAUGCCUCCUAAACUAGCAAGAGCAUUGGCUGUAGAUGUAUCCUCCUGUGCCCAAAGCCAAUGCUAGUGGCAGGGUCAGUGUCUAGCUAUGGUAUGACGCUAUCUUCUCUGAAGCAUUGCUGUGGGUGACUUGGGGUGCUGUUUUCUGACUAGGUGGCCCUAAAGCAGUGGUGUGCUAGAGCCAGCUAUACCAGCUUGCAAAAGCUGACUGCUAAAUUUUCAGAGAGGCUGUGAGCCAGUUUUUAAAUGUAAUACUGAGAAUGAAGUUAUAUAAACAUACAAUUAAAUAAAUUAUAUUUUUAAAAGUUAGCAAACACUCAAAAGCCAUCAUGUCCUAGUUAUAUUACUAUUAUAUAUGGAUAUAAGAUUAUUUACAUCUAUUGUAUCUUUAGUGGUACAUCUCUUCCCAAUUCCAUGUUCAAUGCCAUCACAUUGGGAGCUUGAGACUGGCUGCAGUGGCAAUAUGUACACCAUGAAAAUUGGCAAACGCUACACAAAUCAGGGCUUGAUUUCUUACUUUGUUGAUUGUCUAGACUUUAAGUGAUGAAGAAAUGUUAAUAAUAGAGAUUAGGCCGGGUGUAGUUGCUCACGCCUGUAAUCCUAUCACUUUGGUAGGCUGAGGCGGGUGGAUUACCUGAGGUUGGGAGUUCAAGACCAG